rnacentral:lncRNA from 1 species
GUGCAUUGACUAUUUUAUGUAGGUGGUCUCUGAUAUCGUAUUGAGAUCCCGUCUAGAAACUCAGGUAUUUAGAUGGAUAGACCCAAAAGUAUACGAGCACCACAAGUCUUCUCAACUUAUUUGAUGUGGGACUAUUAUUCUUCAAAAAAAAUAGAAAACUAGAUUUAAGAUCAUUCAUGAGAACCAUUUAUACAGGAUAAGAUAUAAUCUGGUGUGGUAUACAAGGCACAAAUCAAGCCUAGCUGGUCAUAUGCCAUGGCUGGC